rnacentral:rRNA from 1 species
UUGGAGGGCAAGUCUGGUGCCAGCAGCCGCGGUAAUUCCGGCUCCAAUAGCGUAUAUUAAAGUUGCUGCAGUUAAAAAGCUCGUAGUUGAAUUUCGGGACCAAUAUGUCGGUCGUGCCUCGGUACGUACUGGCAUCGUUGGUUUCUCCCUUCUGAAGAACCAUGAUGUCAUUCAUUUGGUGUCGUGGGGAAUCAGGACUGUUACUUUGAAAAAAUUAGAGUGUUUAAAGCAGGCUCACGCUUGAAUACAUUAGCAUGGAAUAAUGAAAUAGGACGUUUGAUUCUAUUUUGUUGGUUUCUAGAAUCGACGUAAUGAUUAAUAGGGAUAGUUGGGGGCAUUAGUAUUCAAUUGUCAGAGGUGAAAUUCUUGGAUUUAUUGAAGACUAACUACUGCGAAAGCAUUUGCCAAGGAUGUUUUUAUUAAUCAAGAACGAAAGUUAGGGGAUCGAAGACGAUCAGAUACCGUCGUAGUCUUAACCAUAAACUAUGCCGACUAGGGAUCGGAUGAUGUUAAUUUUUUAAUGACUCAUUCGGCACCUUACGGGAAAC